rnacentral:rRNA from 1 species
UACAGAGGUCUCAAGCGUUGUUCGGAUUCAUUGGGCGUAAAGGGCGCGUAGGCGGUCUUGUAAGUCUUGUGUGAAAUCCCUCGGCUCAACUGAGGAACUGCACGGGAUACUGCGAGACUUGAGUUCGGGAGAGGGAAGCGGAAUUCCUGGUGUAGCGGUGAAAUGCGCAGAUAUCAGGAGGAACACCGGUGGCGAAGGCGGAUCUCUGGGCCUUACCUGACGCUCAGGUGCGAAAGCUAGGGGAGCGAACAGG